UACGUAGGGGGGCUAGCGUUGUCCGGAUUUAUUGGGCGUAAAGAGCGUGUAGGCGGCCAGGUAGGUCUGCUGUGAAAACUCGAGGCUCAACCUCGAGACGUCGGCGGAAACCAUCUGGCUAGAGUCCGGAAGAGGAGAGUGGAAUUCCCAGUGUAGAGGUGAAAUUCGUAGAUAUUGGGAAGAACACCGGUGGCGAAGGCGGCUCUCUGGACCACAACUGACGCUGAGGCGCGAAAGCGUGGGGGAGCAAACAGG
rnacentral:rRNA from 1 species